rnacentral:rRNA from 1 species
AAUGAACGUUGGCGGCGUGGAUUAGGCAUGCAAGUCGAGCGACAAGGUCCGCAAGGACUGGAGGAGCGGCAAAACGGGGUGUAAUGCGUCGGAACGCACCCACAGGACCGGGAUAGCCGAGGGAAACGUUCGGGUAAGUACCGGAUAAACUCUGCGGAGCAAAUGGCCAACCGCCUGUGGACCGGCCGACGUGAUACUAGGUAGUUGGUAGGGUAAAGGCCUACCAAGCCUAAGAUGUCUAGGGGGUGG